rnacentral:rRNA from 1 species
UACGUAGGGGGCAAGCGUUGUCCGGAUUUAUUGGGCGUAAAGAGCGUGUAGGCGGCUUCACAGGUCUGCUGUGAAAACUCGAGGCUCAACCUCGAGCUGUCGGUGGAAACCGUGGGGCUAGAGUCCGGAAGAGGAGAGUGGAAUUCCUGGUGUAGCGGUGAAAUGCGCAGAUAUCAGGAGGAACACCAAUUGCGAAGGCAGCUCGCUGGGACGUUACUGACGCUGAGGUGCGAAAGCGUGGGGAGCAAACAGG